UAUCAAAUUGCACAUUUAACUUACCCGUCAAGUAAGAGAUGCGUUACCUAAUAAUUACAGCUAGGUGUCGUAAGAAAUCCCAGCAAAACUCUGGAGCUAAAGUGUUUUUGUUACUUAUGAAGUUAGGUUUUCGUGCCAUUUGCAAUCACGUAAUUUCUUCCAUCAUCAAUGUCACGAAACGCUCACAGCCCUUCCUUCGCUAGUCGUUUACCCAUGAAGCAAAUCUUACCGGUUCUCCUGUUAUUGCAUCACUGCCACCAUGUAACCACUGCAAUGGCAAGAGAAUUUUCAUUAGUACCUGGGUCACUGAAGAAGUAAAAAAAAAACGUGAUCAACUACCCGAUUGUGCAGAAAAACAAUUGUACAUCGUCAAUCUGGAUUCGAGUCAUAAACCCGAUAACCACUGGAUCUGUAAUUACAUUAGUCGAGAUGAGAUAAGAGGAUAUUUUGAUCCAUUAGGACUACCUUCGCAUAACCUCAACAUAAGAAAAUUCAUCAAGAAGAACUGUCAAAUGAGGACUUACGAUAACAAAAUACUAUAAGGACCGUAUUUGUCUAUGUGUGGCUACUAUUGUAUAUACUAUACUUAUUAUCGUUGGUGACAUGUGUCGAAACGAAAACUGUUAUAUAAAUUUGGAUCCCACAAAGAUAGCAAUAAUGUGUGUGUUCAU